GAAAGAGUUCAUCUGUUCUCCUUAUCUCUGAAGGUUGUGUUGAGAUGAAUUCCAAGCAUGCUAUCACCAUUGCCAUUCUCCUGGCUAUGUCCGUCACAUUACUCCCUUUUGUUGCUGCACGACGGCUCCCAGAACUGAACCAUGGCCUACCAGAGAGAAAGGUGCUGGCAAUCAGCACGCCGGUGGAAGGAGCAAAAGAACGGAUGUAUGCCAGAGACGAGAAAAUCAUUAUCGGCCUACCCAAUACCAUGAUCCUUCCACGCCCUCCCUCUCCGUCGUGCAAGGCCAAGGCGUGUUAGGAUGAUACUAUCGCGACCCACAUGGAGGAAUGUAUGCUCUGGACGAGAAUGUGUCUGCUUCGUAUUGAAUAAUUGAGCUUGUCACUCGUGUGUGUUAAAAUAAAGAGCUUGCAACUCAUGUAUCUACUAGCUGAAUAUCCAUGUGUUGCUACGGAAAUAAACGUUCACGUCUUACAGUCUGAA